rnacentral:rRNA from 1 species
AGUGAACGCUGGCGGUAGGCCCAACACAUGCAAGUCGAACGGCAGCACAGUAAGAGCUUGCUCUUACGGGUGGCGAGUGGCGGACGGGUGAGGAAUACAUCGGAAUCUACUUUUUCGUGGGGGAUAACGUAGGGAAACUUACGCUAAUACCGCAUACGGCCUACGGGUGAAAGCAGGGGAUCUUCGGACCUUGCGCGAUUGAAUGAGCCGAUGUCGGAUUAGCUAGUUGGCGGGGUAAAGGCCCACCAAGGCGACGAUCCGUAGCUGGUCUGAGAGGAUGAUCAGCCACACUGGAACUGAGACACGGUCCAGACUCCUACGGGAGGCAGCAGUGGGGAAUAUUGGACAAUGGGCGCAAGCCUGAUCCAGCCAUACCGCGUGGGUGAAGAAGGCCUUCGGGUUGUAAAGCCCUUUUGUUGGGAAAGAAAAGCAGCAGGUUAAUACCCCGCUGUUCUGACGGUACCCAAAGAAUAAGCACCGGCUAACUUCGUG